CCUACGGGAGGCAGCAGUAGGGAAUCUUCGGCAAUGGGCGCAAGUCUGACGGAGCGACGCCGCGUGAGUGAAGAAGGUCUUCGGAUCGUAAAACUCUGUUGCUGGAGAAGAAAGACUGCUACAGGAACUGGUUGCUCCCUGACGGUACCUAGCCAGAAAGUCACGGCUAACUACGUGCCAGCAGCCGCGGUAAUACGUAGGUGGCAAGCGUUGUCCGGAAUUAUUGGGCGUAAAGGGUGCGCAGGCGGUCCUGCAAGUCUGGAGUGAAACGCAUGGGCUCAACUCAUGCAUGGCUUUGGAAACUGGAGGACUGGAGAGCAGGAGAGGGCGGUGGAACUCCAUGUGUAGCGGUAAAAUGCGGAGAUAUAUGGAAGAACACCAGUGGCGAAGGCGGCCGCCUGGCCUGUUGCUGACGCUGAGGCACGAAAGCGUGGGGAGCAAAUAGGAUUAGAUACCCUUGUAGUC
rnacentral:rRNA from 1 species